rnacentral:rRNA from 1 species
GAUCAUGGCUCAGGAUGAACGCUGGCGGCGUGCCUAACACAUGCAAGUCGAGCGAUUCACUUCGGUGAAGAGCGGCGGACGGGUGAGUAACGCGUGGGUAACCUGCCUCAUACACAUGGAUAACAUACCGAAAGGUAUGCUAAUACAAGAUGAUAUAAGAGAUUCGCAUGGAUUUCUUAUCAAAGCUCCGGCGGUAUGAGAUGGACCCGCGUCUGAUUAG